AAGUUUGUUAGCAGGUGUAUUUCAUUUUGAUCUGCUUGACUGGAUCCAGAUCUUGCUAUAAUGAAGUUAGCGGCGGACGGGUGAGUAACACGUGGGUAACCUGCCCAUAAGACUGGGAUAACUCCGGGAAACCGGGGCUAAUACCGGAUAACAUUUUGAACCGCAUGGUUCGAAAUUGAAAGGCGGCUUCGGCUGUCACUUAUGGAUGGACCCGCGUCGCAUUAGCUAGUUGGUGAGGUAACGGCUCACCAAGGCAACGAUGCGUAGCCGACCUGAGAGGGUGAUCGGCCACACUGGGACUGAGACACGGCCCAGACUCCUACGGG
rnacentral:rRNA from 1 species